rnacentral:pre_miRNA from 1 species
CUUGUACUCCCUCCGUCCGAAAAUACUUGUCAUUGAAAUGGGUGUAUCUAGAUGUAUUUUAGUUCUAGACACAUCCAUUUUGAUGACAAGUAAUUUCGGAUGGAGGGAGUACUUG